rnacentral:rRNA from 1 species
GCGGCCUAUCAGCUUGUAGGUGGGGUAAUGGCCCACCAAGGCAACGACGGGUAGCUGGUCUGAGAGGACGAUCAGCCACACUGGAACUGAGACACGGUCCAGACUCCUACGGGAGGCAGCAGUGGGGAAUCUUGCGCAAUGGGCGAAAGCCUGACGCAGCAACGCCGCGUGCGGGAUGACAGCCUUGGGUGGUUGUAAACCGCUUUCAGCAGGGACGAAAAUGACGGUACCUGCAGAAGAAGCUCCGGCUAACUACGUGCCAGCAGCCGCGGUAAUACGUAGGGAGCAAGCGUUGUCCGGAUUCAUUGGGCGUAAAGAGCUCGUAGGCGGUUCAGUAAGUCGGGUGUGAAAGCUCCGAGCUCAACUCGGAGAGGCCACCCGAUACUGCUUGACU